CAUAAAACCAUUCUCAGUUCGGAUUGUAGGCUGCAACUCGCCUACAUGAAGCUGGAAUCGCUAGUAAUCGCGGAUCAGCAUGCCGCGGUGAAUACGUUCCCGGGCCUUGUACACACCGCCCGUCACACCACGAGAGUUUGUAACACCCGAAGUCGGUGGAGUAACCGUAAGGAGCUAGCCGCCUAAGGUGGGACAGAUGAUUGGGGUGAAGUCGUAACAAGGUAGCCGUAUCGGAAGGUGCGGCUGGAUCACCUCCUUUCUAAGGA
rnacentral:rRNA from 1 species